rnacentral:piRNA from 1 species
UUGAGCCUGGUCUCUCUUGCCUGGAGGUGU